CCCAGACCUCAUUUAAGGGUUGGCAGUGGUAGUAAGGGCAUCUGUUGCUAGAGUUCCCUGCUUAUCUGAGACCUUCUAAAGGAAAUAUCGUCCCUGUUCUUCUGCCAGUAGAAAAUGCAGAUCUUUCUGUUCUUCCUACUCCUGUGCUACAAGAAACAGGACACUGAUGAAUGUGAAACCUUCAAGCAAAGCUUUUGCCUGUUCAGAGAAUGGUCAACUUCCUCUGAGUUGCUCCAAGCAACUGGAGAGCGAGCAGGAGCCUUGGAGAAAUGACAAGACAGGACAUGAAGGCUUAAAAAGUUCUGUAGCUAGUCAAUCUGAGCACUACUUCCUGCGUUUCCUGCUCCCUAGUAGUGCUCAGCGGUGGCCAUUUUAAAGCCCUACAACAAGCUGAAGUUUAUCAGGUUUGUGUGAUAUCUGUUAAAACGUGCAUCUGGCCAAGCACUGUUGAGCAAUGGGCACUGCAAACUCCAGGCCUUCAGACACAAAAAACAGAUGCUACAAAAAUGAGCAUGUGCCUCAGAAAAGCAGAACACAAGAUCAAAGGUAACAUCCAUGUCCUCAAUCUGUGCAACACCAGAGAAAUGAUGAAGUAGACCUGGGCACUUCUCCUGUUUCUAAAGUUGUAAGGAAGCAGUUUAUAAAACAACUGAAGUUGCCUUUCUUCUGCCUUCAAGUCUGAAAACUGGAAGAUGGAGUUGUGUGGGGCCUCUCUGAGUGCCAGGAGUGAGGCAGGAGCUGCCUAGCCACUAUGUGCAUCAGAACACCCAUUGGCAACUCCUUGCUGGCUACUGCGGGUGAAGUCAUACAACUGUCUGCAGCAAGAAGGAUCUCCAGAUACCAGUCCAGUUCUAGUCUGUGAACACAUUUGUCUGAGGGCUGUUGUCACCAGCAUGAUUAAAUAGGGAAAAAUGGAGAGAGACAAAAUAUUUGUAGAAGACUAACUUGAUGAAAAAGGAAAAAAGGAAAAACAAAGAUCUUGAUUAAUGGACUUGUGUUUAGGCCAAGGGAUACAUACACUGAAAACAGUUAUAAUUCAUUUCUGAUCAUUUCCCAUUUUACAGGUUCAGGUGGAGGGGAAUGUGCAUGGGGAUGAGAGUACAAACAGACCUUGGGGUUGUCUCCAUUUCCAACAUAAAAGUUUAUAAUUCCUUGUGUCCCUAAAGUGACUGUGGCCCAGAAUGUGCAGACAACUCUGACACAGCAAAAGGUACAAUGGAAGCCACUUUGCAGUCACUGGCAACACAUUCAGUCAUAUGUGCCAGCCGCACUUUUCUUUCCCAGGCUUAUCAUUAGCGUGAAAAAAGGCAUCUUCUCCACAUCAUCCCAGAAGUGAUAAAAAUGUGGAGCUCUGUGCUUCUCUUGGGAGAACUUUCAGCUCAUAUAUCUAUAAGAAAUGAUGAGCCCUUUUUCAGAGAACCUUUGCAAAGGACUUUCUUCUCUGUAUGGGCCCUACUGCCUACCUGGAUAUUAGCUGUGAUGGAUAAGGUAAGUGUGAGAGUCACUGAUUGCUGAAAGCAAUACUAUUGAAAUGUUCCAUAGCCAAAACUUGGCUGGAUAGCAAAGAAGUGACAAUCUUUGUCACAAAACUUUGGCUUGAUUCACAGACAUCUGCUGAAUACUCUUCUUGUUGGCCAAAAAGCAUAGGAGUCUGGUGUUGCAAGCUGAAAAAAAAUGCCAUUAGAGUUUUAAUCAGAGAUUUUGCAUACACUUUUUCUUUUUUAAAUGUUUGAUCUGUUUUCCACGUAAAGAGACCAUGUUGUAACUUGGACAAAAAGAGCAGAUAGGCUCAGCCAUAUUCAAAAGUGGUUUUUGAACUUUCCAUUUGUUGGGAGGACUCACUUCUUCACUCCCAUGCCAGUGCCUGGGAGUCCUCUGCUGCUCAGAUUAGCAUAGGAGAUAGUUGUAUUAGCUUUAUAGUGAAUAGAUGAGUCCUCAAAAUCCUCUUCUUGCAAUAGUAUGUCAACAAUAUAUUGAGAGCCUAUUUUCACUAAUUGAUUCCAACUUUGGAAGACAUACAGUCAAUUUAUGAAAAGAAUAUCUCAUGGCUUUUGCUUUUAAAGAAUCUGCAAGAGGCCUGGAUGCCCAGAAGAACAGAUGCUGAGGCUCAUCAGUUGCUUGAAAGCGAGGAUCCACAGCUGGCAAGCGGAGCUGUGAAAAGUUAACAUAUUGGAAAAAACAACACAUUUUCCAUGUAAAGCUGCUGUCUUAAAUAGAACACGGCUGCACAAAUUUUU